rnacentral:misc_RNA from 1 species
GAAAUGCGAUAAGUAGAGUGAAUUGCAGAAUUCAGUGAAUCAUCGAAUCUUUGAACGCACAUUGCGCCCCUUGGUAUUCCAUGGGGCAUGCCUGUUCGAGCGUCAUUUGUACCCUCAAGCUCUGCUUGGUGUUGGGUGUUUGUCCCCGUCUCCGCGCGUGGACUCGCCCCAAAGUGAUUGGCAGCCGGCGUACUGGUCCCGGAGCGCAGCACAUGUCGCGCAAACGAGUGCCUUGGUACGGCGGCGUCCAUAAGCCCCUCUCUCACGCUCUUGACCUCGGAUCAGGUAGGGAUACCCGCUGAACUUAAGC